rnacentral:rRNA from 1 species
GAUGAACGCUGGCGGCGUGCCUAAUACAUGCAAGUCGAGCGAACAGAUGAGAAGCUUGCUUCUCUGACGUUAGCGGCGGACGGGUGAGUAACACGUGGAUAACCUACCUAUAAGACUGGGAUAACUUCGGGAAACCGGAGCUAAUACCGGAUAAUAUUUUGAACCGCAUGGUUCAAAAGUGAAAGACGGUUUUGCUGUCACUUAUAGAUGGAUCCGCGCUGCAUUAGCUAGUUGGUAAGGUAACGGCUUACCAAGGCAACGAUGCAUAGCCGACCUGAGAGUGUGAUCGGCCACACUGGAACUGAGACACGGUCCAGACUCCGACGGUGGGCAGAAGUAGGGAAUCUUACGCAAUGGGCGAGAGCCUGACAGAGCAACGCCGCGUGAGUGAUGAAGGUCUUCGGAUCGUAAAACUCUGUAAUUAGGGAAGAACAUAUGUGAAAGGAACUGUGCACAUCUUGACGGUGCCUAAUAAGAAAGCCACGGCUAACUACGUG